rnacentral:lncRNA from 1 species
UGUUGAUGAGAGUGCAGACUUGAACAACCAUUUUGGAAAUCAAUUUUGCAGUUUCCAAGAAAAUUGUGAAGAGCUCUACCUCAAGACUCUAUACCGUUCCUGGGCAUAUAUCUAAAAGACGCUCUAUCAUACCACAUGGACACUUGCACAAUUAUUUUCAUAACAGUUUUAUUUGCAAUAACCAGAAACUGAAAACAACCUAGAUGUCUCUCAACUGAAGAAUGAGUAAAGAAACUGUGGUACAUUUAUACAGUGGAAUGCUACUCAACUGUUAAAAACAAAAACAUCAUGAAAUUUUCAGGCAAAUAGGUGGAACUAGAAAAUAUCAUUCUGAGUGAUGUAUUCCACAUCCAAAAAAGACAUGCAUGGUGUGUACUCCAUAAUAUCCACUUUUAAAUAGAUAUUACCUAUAAGGUAAAGGAUAACCAUCCUAUAAUCCAUGGACCCAAAGAAGUUAAGUGACAAGGAACGUCCAAAGAGAGGAUGCUUGAGUCUCAUCUCAGAAGGAGAAAUAAAAUAUACAUAAAAGGUGGAUGGAGGAAGAGACCUGGAUGAGAUCCUAGUAUAAUUGGCUUCUGAGAGGUGCCCAGCAGCUGAUGGAAACAAAUGCAGAUCCUCACACCCAAAUAUUAGAUGCAGCUCAAGAAUUCUUAUGAAAAUAGUAGGAGUCAAAGUCACCUCAAGAAGACAUAUAGCGUCAGCUACAUUGAGUCCAUAGGGACUCAAAGAGACAGAAUCACCAACCAAAGAGCAUUCAUGGGCUAGACCUUGGAUGCCUACACAUAUGUGCCAAAUGUGCAGCUUGGUCCUCAUGUUGAUUCUUCCAAUUGGAGAAGAGCUGUCUUCUGAGAAUGUUGCCUUCCUUUGGAAAUAUUUCUCCUAGCUGGACUGCCUUUUCUUGACCUCAGUGGGAGAGGAUAUAGUUAGUCCUGCUGAGGCUUGAUGUACCAGGUUGGGUUGGUACCCAUGGGGGCCUUCCCCUUCUCUGAGGAAAGGGGGAGGGGAAAUGGGAGGUAGGGACUAUAAGGGUAGAACUGGAUAGAACAGAGGGAGG